GAUGAACGCUGGCGGCGUGCCUAAUACAUGCAAGUCGAGCGAACAGACGAGGAGCUUGCUCCUCUGACGUUAGCGGCGGACGGGUGAGUAACACGUGGAUAACCUACCUAUAAGACUGGGAUAACUUCGGGAAACCGGAGCUAAUACCGGAUAAUAUAUUGAACCGCAUGGUUCAAUAGUGAAAGACGGUUUUGCUGUCACUUAUAGAUGGAUCCGCGCCGCAUUAGCUAGUUGGUAACGUAACGGCUUACCAAGGCAACGAUGCGUAGCCGACCUGAGAGGGUGAUCGGCCACACUGGAACUGAGACACGGUCCAGACUCCUACGGGAGGCAGCAGUAGGGAAUCUUCCGCAAUGGGCGAAAGCUUGACGGAGCAACGCCGCGUGAGUGAUGAAGGUCUUCGGAUCGUAAAACUCUGUUAUUAGGGAAGAACAAAUGUGUAAGUAACUAUGCACGUCUUGACGGUACCUAAUCAGAAAGCCACGGCUAACUACGUG
rnacentral:rRNA from 1 species